AAAUUGAAGAGUUUGAUCAUGGCUCAGAUUGAACGCUGGCGGCAGGCCUAACACAUGCAAGUCGAACGGUAACAGGAAGCAGCUUGCUGCUUCGCUGACGAGUGGCGGACGGGUGAGUAAUGUCUGGGAAACUGCCUGAUGGAGGGGGAUAACUACUGGAAACGGUAGCUAAUACCGCAUAAUGUCGCAAGACCAAAGAGGGGGACCUUCGGGCCUCUUGCCAUCGGAUGUGCCCAGAUGGGAUUAGCUUGUUGGUGGGGUAACGGCUCACCAAGGCGACGAUCCCUAGCUGGUCUGAGAGGAUGACCAGCCACACUGGAACUGAGACACGGUCCAGACUCCUACGGGAGGCAGCAGUGGGGAAUAUUGCACAAUGGGCGCAAGCCUGAUGCAGCCAUGCCGCGUGUAUGAAGAAGGCCUUCGGGUUGUAAAGUACUUUCAGCGGGGAGGAAGGGAGUAAAGUUAAUACCUUUGCUCAUUGACGUUAUCCGCAGAAGAAGCACCGGCUAACUCCGUGCCAGCAGCCGCGGUAAUACGGAGGGUGCAAGCGUUAAUCGGAAUUACUGGGCGUAAAGCGCACGCAGGCGGUUUGUUAAGUCAGAUGUGAAAUCCCCGGGCUCAACCUGGGAACUGCAUCUGAUACUGGCAAGCUUGAGUCUCGUAGAGGGGGGUAGAAUUCCAGGUGUAGCGGUGAAAUGCGUAGAGAUCUGGAGGAAUACCGGUGGCGAAGGCGGCCCCCUGGACGAAGACUGACGCUCAGGUGCGAAAGCGUGGGGAGCAAACAGGAUUAGAUACCCUGGUAGUCCACGCCGUAAACGAUGUCGACUUGGAGGUUGUGCCCUUGAGGCGUGGCUUCCGGAGCUAACGCGUUAAGUCGACCGCCUGGGGAGUACGGCCGCAAGGUUAAAACUCAAAUGAAUUGACGGGGGCCCGCACAAGCGGUGGAGCAUGUGGUUUAAUUCGAUGCAACGCGAAGAACCUUACCUGGUCUUGACAUCCACGGAAGUUUUCAGAGAUGAGAAUGUGCCUUCGGGAACCGUGAGACAGGUGCUGCAUGGCUGUCGUCAGCUCGUGUUGUGAAAUGUUGGGUUAAGUCCCGCAACGAGCGCAACCCUUAUCCUUUGUUGCCAGCGGUCCGGCCGGGAACUCAAAGGAGACUGCCAGUGAUAAACUGGAGGAAGGUGGGGACGACGUCAAGUCAUCAUGGCCCUUACGACCAGGGCUACACACGUGCUACAAUGGCGCAUACAAAGAGAAGCGACCUCGCGAGAGCAAGCGGACCUCAUAAAGUGCGUCGUAGUCCGGAUUGGAGUCUGCAACUCGACUCCAUGAAGUCGGAAUCGCUAGUAAUCGUGGAUCAGAAUGCCACGGUGAAUACGUUCCCGGGCCUUGUACACACCGCCCGUCACACCAUGGGAGUGGGUUGCAAAAGAAGUAGGUAGCUUAACCUUCGGGAGGGCGCUUACCACUUUGUGAUUCAUGACUGGGGUGAAGUCGUAACAAGGUAACCGUAGGGGAACCUGCGGUUGGAUCACCUCCUUA
rnacentral:rRNA from 1 species